GAUGAACGCUAGCGGCAGGCUUAAUACAUGCAAGUCAAACGGCAAGGACUUUCGGUCCCUAGAGUGGCGCACGGGUGAGUAACACGUACACAACAUACCCUAUAUUGGAGGAUAGCCUUGGGAAACUGGGGGUAAUAUUCCAUAGUAUUUAUUGGAGGCAUCUCUGAUAAAUUAAAGAGCAAUCGAUAUAGGAUUGGUGUGCGUCCCAUUAGCUAGUUGGUAGGGUAACGGCCUACCAAGGCUACGAUGGGUAGCUGGCGUGAGAGCGCGACCAGCCACACUGGAACUGAGACACGGUCCAGACUCCUACGGGAGGCAGCAGUUAGGGAAUAUUGGACAAUGGAGGCAACUUCUGAUCCAGCCAUUGCCGCGUGGAGGAUGACCUGCCCUCU
rnacentral:rRNA from 1 species